CUGAAGUACAUGUCAUGUUCUUGCACAGCUGGGAAAGCCCUGUGCAAUCACAUGGUGGGUCUUCUGUUUCAAACUGCUCACUACAGUACAAUGGGCUACAAGACCGUACCAUUGCCUCUGUCGUGCACCAGUUCACUGCAGACCUGGCACCGUCCAAGGACAAAGGGAGUUGCACCAGAGGCUACAAAUGAUAUGACAGUGUGUAAACCUGUGGCAAGGGAAAAAACCAGGAUUAGGACUAGCGUGAAGUGCACACUGUACAGAGCGUAUGCAGGUCCUCUUCCAGAUCCUCAUAUUGAAGCCAGCGGGGAGAAACUAAAAGAAAUCCGUCCACAACCAGGAAUAUGCAAGUUGCUUUAUGGACUGCAAAACCUUACUUUAGUGGACUCUAAAUUUGGUCCUGUGCCAUUUGGUUCUGUGCUCUCAUAUCAGUGUCCUCCUGAAAUGAGCAGAGACAUAAUCAAACAUCCAGAUGCCCCUG